rnacentral:rRNA from 1 species
AACGAACGCUGGCGGCAGGCUUAACACACGCAAGUCGAACGAUGUAGCAAUACAUAGUGGCGCACGGGUGAGUAACGCGUGGGAAUAUACCUUAUAGUGGGGAAUAACUUUGGGAAACUAAAGCUAAUACCGCAUACGCCCGAGAGGGGAAAGAUUUAUCGCUAUAAGAUUAGCCCGCGUGAGAUUAGGUAGUUGGUGGGGUAAUGGCCUACCAAGCCUACGAUCUCUAGCUGGUCUGAGAGGAUGAUCAGCCACACUGGAACUGAGACACGGUCCAGACUCCUACGGGAGGCAGCAGUGGGGAAUAUUGGACAAUGGGCGAAAGCCUGAUCCAGCAAUGCCGCGUGAGUGAUGAAGGCCUUAGGGUUGUAAAGCUCUUUACCCGGGAGUGAUAAUGACAGUACCGGGAGGAAUAAGACUACCCGGCUAACUCCGUGCCAGCAGCCGCGGU